rnacentral:rRNA from 1 species
UGGGGGAUAUUGCACAAUGGGCGAAAGCCUGAUGCAGCGACGCCGCGUGGGGGAUGAAGGCUUUCGGGUUGUAAACCUCUUUCGCUAUCGAACAAGGCCCGCUUAGGGUGGGUUGAGGGUAGGUGGAGAAGAAGCGCCGGCUAACUACGUGCCAGCAGCCGCGGUAAUACGUAGGGCGCGAGCGUUGUCCGGAAUUAUUGGGCGUAAAGGGCUUGUAGGCGGCUUGUUGCGCCUGCUGUGAAAACGCGGGGCUUAACUUCGCGCGUGCAGUGGGUACGGGCAGGCUUGAGUGUGGUAGGGGUGACUGGAAUUCCAGGUGUAGCGGGGGAAUGCGCAGAUAUCUGGAGGAACACCGAUGGCGAAGGCAGGUCACUGGGCCAUUACUGACGCUGAGGAGCGAAAGCAUGGGUAGCGAACAGG